rnacentral:lncRNA from 1 species
UUAUUUUAAUUUUAAUGAUCUGGUUGUUGUGUUUGUUAGAGUUUCAUUUACGGUUCUUCUAACUCCUCAUUAGUAACAAAUAUUAUACUAUGUAAACUGGUGUUCUGCAUUUAAUUUGUUGGCAGAAUGCUGGAGUUCUCAUUUGAAUUUUCUGUUUUAAGGUGUUUCCAAUUGUGUAUGAGUUAUUCUCUGUUGGCAAACUUCAUUUUCAUUUCAGUUAUUCUCUGUAUUUUAGUGUCCAGUCUUUUUUGUUUUCGUUCCAUGGUUGUUACGUGCGAGAGAUAUUGAUGUGCGAGUAGGGUUGCUGGUUUUAUCUGAAUAGUUCAGCUCACUACUGUUUCCUUACAUUAAUGUUUCUGUAUGACAUCUUUCUGUAUUACACGAUUCUGGAAAAGUUGGGACAACUUUGUGGUAUUGUAUUUGUGAUAUGCUGAUCAGAGGCUUGGUUUAGAGAAUUAUGCUAAUCUUUUGUCUUUUUUCUUCUUUUUUUUCUACAACUAUUUGCCACACUACCCCAUCAUUGUACUGUUUUCUUAUAUUUAGGUUUUUGACAUAUAAUUGACAGUGCGAAAGUUUACUCAAUUCUGAAGAAAGUGGACAGCUUUGUGGGGUUUUUUUCUAGCCGUGAUCUAAACGUCUUGAUAUGAAGGUGUCCCCUGCUAGUUUAGCAGUUUUUGCAUCAGGAGUGUGAGUGUGUAACAUACAAGAUUCUAAGCCUUUUGAAUUUAAUGGGUUUUGUUUCUUCCUUGAAUGUAGAUGCCCAUCUCUUUCUUGGAUAAUCAAGAUAUACACGUCUGUUUUGC